AUUGAACGCUGGCGGCAUGCUUUACACAUGCAAGUCGAACGGUAACAGGUCUUCGGCUGCUGACGAGUGGCGAACGGGUGAGUAAUACAUCGGAACGUGCCUAGUAGUGGGGGAUAACUACUCGAAAGAGUAGCUAAUACCGCAUGAGAUCUACGGAUGAAAGCAGGGGACCUUCGGGCCUUGUGCUACUAGAGCUGCUGAUGGCAGAUUAGGUAGUUGGUGGGGUAAAGGCUUACCAAGCCUGCGAUCUGUAGCUGGUCUGAGAGGACGACCAGCCACACUGGGACUGAGACACGGCCCAGACUCCUACGGGAGGCAGCAGUGGGGAAUUUUGGACAAUGGGCGAAAGCCUGAUCCAGCAAUGCCGCGUGCAGGAUGAAGGCCCUCGGGUUGUAAACUGCUUUUGUACGGAACGAAAAGCCUGGGGCUAAUAUCCCCGGGUCAUGACGGUACCGUAAGAAUAAGCACCGGCUAACUACGUG
rnacentral:rRNA from 1 species